CAGCAGCCGCGGUAAUACGUAGGUGGCGAGCGUUGUCCGGAAUUAUUGGGCGUAAAGGGAGCGCAGGCGGACAUAUAAGUCCAUCUUAAAAGUGCGGGGCUCAACCCCGUGAGGGGAUGGAAACUGUAUGCCUUGAGUGCAGGAGAGGAAAGCGGAAUUCCCAGUGUAGCGGUGAAAUGCGUAGAUAUUGGGAGGAACACCAGUGGCGAAGGCGGCUUUCUGGACUGUAACUGACGCUGAGGCGCGAAAGCCAGGGGAGCGAACGGGAUUAGAUACCCCUGUAGUCCCUGUCUCUUAUACA
rnacentral:rRNA from 1 species